rnacentral:rRNA from 1 species
AGCAUAUCAAUAAGCGGAGGAAAAGAAACCAACAGGGAUUGCCCUAGUAACGGCGAGUGAAGCGGCAACAGCUCAAAAUUUGAAAUCUGGCUACUUCGUAGUCCGAGUUGUAAUUUGUAGAGGAUGCUUUUGGUGAAGUGCUUUCUGAGUUCCCUGGAACGGGACGCCAGAGAGGGUGAGAGCCCCGUACAGUUAGCAACUGAUCCUUUGUAUAGCUCCUUCGACGAGUCGAGUAGUUUGGGAAUGCUGCUCUAAAUGGGAGGUAUAUCUCUUCUAAAGCUAAAUAUAGGCUAGAGACCGAUAGCGCACAAGUAGAGUGAUCGAAAGAUGAAAAGCACUUUGAAAAGAGAGUUAAACAGCACGUGAAAUUGUUGAAAGGGAAGCGCCUAUGACCAGACUUGUCUCUAUCAGUUUUGGUAGUUUUCGGACUGCUUUACUCUGUUAGUACAGGCCAACAUCAGUUUGUUGUCGGGGAGAAAGGCUUAGGGAAUGUGGCUCCUUCGGGAGUGUUAUAGCCCUUUGCAUAAUACCCUUCGGCAGACUGAGGACCGCGCUUCGGCAAGGAUGUUGGCGUAAUGGUCAUCAGCGACCCGUCUUGAAACACGGACCAAGGAGUCAACCUUAUAUGCGAGUGUUUGGGUGUAAAACCCCAGCGCGUAAUGAACGUGAACGUAGGUGAGAGCUUCGGCGCAUCAUCGACCGAUUCUGAUGUUCUCGGAUGGAUUUGAGUAAGAGCAUAUAGGGUUGGACCCGAAAGGAAGGUGAACUAUGCUUGUAUAGGGUGAAGCCAGAGGAAACUCUGGUGGAGGCUCGCAGCGGUUUCUGACGUGCAAAUCGAUCGUCAAAUAAUGAGCAUGGGGGCGAAAGACUAAUCGAACCUUCUAGUAGCUGGUUCCAGCCGA